GAUGAACGCUGGCGGCGUGCCUAAUACAUGCAAGUCGAGCGAACGGACGAGAAGCUUGCUUCUCUGAUGUUAGCGGCGGACGGGUGAGUAACACGUGGAUAACCUACGUAUAAGACUGGGAUAACUUCGGGAAACCGUAGCUAAUACCGGAUAAUAUUUUGAACCGCAUGGUUCAAAAGUGAAAGACGGUCUUGCUGUCACUUAUAGAUGGAUCCGCGCUGCAUUAGCUAGUUGGUAAGGUAACGGCUUACCAAGGCAACGAUGCAUAGCCGACCUGAGAGGGUGAUCGGCCACACUGGAACUGAGACACGGUCCAGACUCCUACGGGGGGCAGCAGUAGGGAAUCUUCCGCAAUGGGCGAAAGCCUGACGGAGCAACGCCGCGUGAGUGAUGAAGGUCUUCGGAUCGUAAAACUCUGUUAUUAGGGAAGAACAUAUGUGUAAGUAACUGUGCACAUCUUGACGGUACCUAAUCAGAAAGCCACGGCUAACUACGUG
rnacentral:rRNA from 1 species